rnacentral:rRNA from 1 species
UACGUAGGGGGCGAGCGUUGUCCGGAUUUAUUGGGCGUAAAGAGCUCGUAGGCGGUUCGAUAAGUCGGACGUGAAAUCUCCACGCUCAACGUGGAGGGGCCGUUCGAUACUGUCGUGGCUCGAGUCCGGUAGGGGAGUGUGGAAUUCCCGGUGUAGCGGUGAAAUGCGUAGAGAUCAGGCAGAACACCUGGGGCGAAGGCGGCCAGCUGGGCCGUCCCUGACGCUGAGGCGCGAAGGCGUGGGGAGCGAACGGG